rnacentral:sRNA from 12 species
AGGCGAUGAAGUGAGAGGGUGUGCCGGUAUGCAUUGUCUCACAGAGCUUUCGGGAGGGGUUGUGCAGUGAAACCUCAAACCGGCGUAGGUUAUAUAGCUGAAAGAAAAUGCUCAGA